rnacentral:rRNA from 1 species
GACGAACGCUGGCGGCGUGCUUAACACAUGCAAGUCGAACGCUGAAGCUCAGCUUGCUGGGUGGAUGAGUGGCGAACGGGUGAGUAACACGUGAGUAACCUGCCCUCUUCUUUGGGAUAACGCCCGGAAACGGGUGCUAAUACUGGAUAUUCACUGAUUCUUGCAUGGGGGUUGGUGGAAAGGUUUGUUCUGGUGGGGGAUGGGCUCGCGGCCUAUCAGCUUGUUGGUGGGGUGAUGGCCUACCACGGCUUUGACGGGUAGUCGGCCUGGGAGGGUGACCGGUCACAUUGGGACUGAUCUACGGCCCAGACUCCUACGGGAGGCAGCAGUGGGGAAUAUUGCACAAUGGGCGAAAGCCUGAAUCAGCGACGCCGCGUGAGGGAUGGAGGCCUGCAGGGUGUAAUCCUCUUGCGCUCAAGGUCAAGCCGCAGCUUUGGGUUGUGGUGAGGGUAGUGAGUAAAGAAGCGCCGGCUAACUACGUG